AAUAGAGUGAAGUAUUUGUGUUCAGUCACAUCCAGACUUGUCUGUUCUUUGUCUCAGAGAUUUUCCAGGUAUUGAGCAGCACUUUACAAAGACUUACUGACUUGAACAGGCAUUUAAUUUUCGUUUUCCAGUUUCAGCUUGUACACUCGGGAGGUUUUCCUCACGUGCUUCAGGAUUUAAUUGCAAUUUCUCCAGAAGCAUUUUUCCACCAGGUGAUGGAUGAAGCAGGAGCUGCAGGUUGGGCAAGAGGAUGGUGAAAUCUCUACAGCAUGAUGGGGAGGGAGUGUGUACGAAUCUUCACAUCCUUCACGUUGACUGAAGAGGUCAAAUACACCUGGUUUCUCCUACAGGGACAUUAGCUUAUUCUCCUGCAUUUACCUCUUUGCACGUUGUUGAGAACAGUGUAUGAAUGGGGUGGAUGAUCCCGGCUCCGUGUGAGGAGAGCCAUCUUCAGCAGUUUUGCCUCCUGCCAAACAAGGAUGUGUUUUUAAUCUGUCCUUUUGGUGCCCGGAGGAAGAGCACAGGUUCCCUCUGCUCCCUGCAUCUGCAUGGCAGAGGGCAUGGAUUGGCCCUGAGUAAGGCAUCCUGAGAGACAA
rnacentral:lncRNA from 1 species